rnacentral:lncRNA from 1 species
AUGUGUGUUGGGCUGCCAGAGGUAUGUUUAUGAAGGGCAUCAUAAAUUGCUAAAUUUACUUAACAAAUAAUUAAGCUUACUUGUCAAAUGACUCAUAACACAAUUUGAUCAAGUUCCAUGGCUAAAAUUAUGUUAUGACAAAACACUACAAUAAGGGGCUGGUUGGUUCUUAAAUAUGUUAGAUUUUAAAGGAAAAAGACUUCUAUUUUUAUGGUAUCUGUUGACUUCUAAAAUUAUUGUGAUGUCAUCAUUCUCCUUUCCACCUCUGUGAAUUCAUCCAUGCCAUUUCCUCUGCCUGAACUGUCCUCCCAACAAAAUCCUGCUCACCCUUUAAAACAUACCUCUGACAGCUCCUUCUCUGGGCAAGUCGCAUGAGCCUCUCCUCUCAAGUCUCACCAGGAAUUUAAGAGUAAUUCCCAAAUUGCUUCUGGGCCUUGACUUUCUGUCAUCUAUUCAAAUGUCAAAACCUUUUCCUGGAAGAAUGUGCUACACCUGCUGCAGGAGAAAGGCAAUUAGUAAAUGUAGAAGAAGAAAUGGAAUUUGAAAAUCACUAUUUGGCCACCAUCAUGGUAAUAAUUGCUUGAGUCAAGAAUCAUCAGUGGAUCAUUCUAAUGGGUGGAAGUUUAACCACUAACAGGAUAUUUCAUGGUCUCAAAGCCUCUUCCCACAAGAUGUUUAUAAUAAAAAAUAAAAAGCAGAAACUUCAGAGCAAAGAAGUCUGACAGACACUGCCAAAAUCAGUCAAGCCAAUAUCAUGUGUUUCCUAAUACAAUGCACUAAGAGAGGCACAAUAUCACUUCUGCAGCAUCCUUGCCAAAAACACCUAAUGAUAGUUUUAUUAUGAUGAAACAAUGAACCACUUUCAAACUGAGGACAUUUUAUGAAAUAAUUUGUCAGAACUCUCAAAAAUUAUCAAAUAAAUGAAAUAUAAAAAGAGCUGUUAAGGACUUGGAGGACUGUUAGAUUAUAGAAAAGUAAAAAGUCUUUACAGCUAAAUGCAACAAAUAAAGAUGCAAUAUUUUUAUAAAAAACAUUGAACAACUAGCAAAAAUUGUGUCUAUAUAUAAUAGCAUUAUAGCAGUAUUAAAUUUUGAUUUUAAUUAUUUUCCCCUAAUCAUGAAAUUUCUAUUUUAGAAAAUAUAAAGUGUUUUGGGGUGAAGAGAAUAUGUAUUGAAAAAAUACGUACAUGUUAUGAAGAAAAAAGAAAAUGGUGUAAACUGUUAGCUCUUGGAAAAUGAGUAAACAGUAAGAUAAUUAUUUGUGCUAUUCUAACUAUUUUUCUACAAGUC